UGUCGGCGAGCGGCGGACGGGUGAGUAACACGUAGGAACUUGCCCAGAAGUGGGGGAUAACUAAGGGAAACUUUAGCUAAUACCGCAUAAUCUCGAAAGAGAAAAGGCGCCAGCAAUGGUGUCGCUUUUGGAGGGGCCUGCGUCCGAUUAGCUAGUUGGUAGGGUAAGAGCCUACCAAGGCUAUGAUCGGUAACUGGUCUGAGAGGACGACCAGUCACACUGGGACUGAGACACGGCCCAGACUCC
rnacentral:rRNA from 1 species